AGAGCGAACGCUGGCGGCACGCUUAACACAUGCAAGUCGCACGGCUGGGGAAACCCAGCAGUGGCGGACAGGUGAGUAACGCGUAGGUAUCUAUCUCCGGGUGGGGGACAACUGUGGGAAACUACAGCUAAUACCGCAUGAUGCCCGAGGGCCAAAGGCGCAAGUCGCCUGGAGAGGAGCCUGCGUACGAUUAGCUUGUUGGCGGGGUAAUGGCCCACCAAGGCGACGAUCGUUAGCUGGUCUGAGAGGAUGAUCAGCCACACUGGGACUGAGACACGGCCCAGACUCCUACGGGAGGCAGCAGUGGGGAAUAUUGGACAAUGGGCGCAAGCCUGAUCCAGCAAUGCCGCGUGAGUGAAGAAGGUCUUCGGAUUGUAAAGCUCUUUCGACGGGGACGAUGAUGACGGUACCCGUAGAAGAGCCCGGCUAACUUCGCGCCAGCAGCCGCGGUAAU
rnacentral:rRNA from 1 species